GACAGAGGGUGCAAACGUUGUUCGGAAUUACUGGGCGUAAAGCGCACGUAGGCGGACUAUUAAGUAGGGGUGAAAUCCCGGGGCUCAACCCCGGAACUGCCUUUGAUACUGGUAGUCUUGAGUUCGAGAGAGGUGAGUGGAAUUCCGAGUGUAGAGGUGAAAUUCGUAGAUAUUCGGAGGAACACCAGUGGCGAAGGCGGCUCACUGGCUCGAUACUGACGCUGAGGUGCGAAAGCGUGGGGAGCAAACAGG
rnacentral:rRNA from 1 species